CUAGAGCCGGACCCUUGAGCGGGCACUUUCCCGCUGACUCUGGAGAGCCUGUACCAAGGUGGGUGCUGGGUCCUGCCUGCUGCCCGCUGCCUCCUGACAGCAAAGAAUUAAAGACUUGACGGGCCCUGUCCACGGGCGAAUGAGGAUGUGCUGAAGACAAAGCGCGGCCUGGGGGAGCAGCCUGCAGGAAUCUGGGUUUCCAAUAACGUCAGACAAUAAAGCUUAGGCCUAACCUGCCGCAAUAUGGUGCAAGUCUAAAGAGCUUAGCUGCUAAUAAAGGAAGGGCGGCCCUCGGAUUCCAGGCUGCGGACCCCAGAAGGACACUUCGUAAAGAUCAGGAUGGGUUAGUGGGGAUCACGGGGGCUCGCCGGCCCUUGUUGACCGAUUGUCUGACAGUUGUCACCUGUGGGUCUGAUAUUAAUAAGUCCCGCCUUGAUUUCCUUGGGG